CAGUAGCCGCGGUAAUACGAAGGGGGCUAGCGUUGUUCGGAUUUACUGGGCGUAAAGCGCACGUAGGCGGAUCGAUCAGUCAGGGGUGAAAUCCCAGAGCUCAACUCUGGAACUGCCUUUGAUACUGUCGAUCUGGAGUAUGGAAGAGGUGAGUGGAAUUCCGAGUGUAGAGGUGAAAUUCGUUGAGAUCGAAAAGAACACCAACAGCGAAAGCACUCUGCUGGGACGACACUGACACUAAGAGACGAAAGCUAGGGGAGCAAAUGGGAUUAGAUACCCGCGUAGUCCCUGUCUCUUAUAU
rnacentral:rRNA from 1 species